rnacentral:rRNA from 1 species
AUACGGAGGGGGUUAGCGUUGUUCGGAAUUACUGGGCGUAAAGCGCACGUAGGCGGACUGGAAAGUUGGGGGUGAAAUCCCGGGGCUCAACCCCGGAACUGCCUCCAAAACUUCCAAUCUAGAGAGCGAGAGAGGUGAGUGGAAUUCCAAGUGUAGAGGUGAAAUUCGUAGAUAUUUGGAGGAACACCAGUGGCGAAGGCGGCUCACUGGCUCGAUACUGACGCUGAGGUGCGAAAGCGUGGGGAGCAAACAGGAUUAGAUACCCUAGUAGUCC